rnacentral:tRNA from 1 species
GCGCUGUUAGCUCAAUGGUAGAGCACCCGACUCUUAAUCGGAUGGUUGAAGGUCCGACUCCUUCACGGCGCACUA